GUGGAUUAGAUACCCUGGUAGUCCACGCAGUAAACGAUGAGAACUGGCUGUGAUAUGUAGGGAGCAAUCUCUGCAUGACGUAGCGAAGCUAACGCGUUAAGUUCUCCGCCUGGGGAGUACGGCCGCAAGGUUAAAACUCAAAGGAAUUGACGGGGGCCCGCACAAGCGGUGGAGCAUGUGGUUUAAUUCGAUGCAACCCGAAGAACCUUACCUACCCUUGACAUCCUUGGAAGAAAGCAGAGAUGCUUUCGUGCCGAAAGGAACCAAGAGACAGGUGCUGCACGGCUGUCGUCAACU
rnacentral:rRNA from 1 species